UGGGGGCAGCCUCGGGGGUAGAACGCCCCAGCUCCUGCCACCCAAGUCCUGGAGGAUUGGCACACCUCUCCUCUGACUUGCUGCGCUGCCACCCCACACCGAGAAGACAAGGACUCAGUGUUUGAGGGGAACCUACUCUUGGGAGAGGGUUUUGAUUUUUCCACCGGAGAAGAAUUCUGGAGGUUAAAAGUUGCCAGAAAUUCUGAAAUUCCCCUUCCAGCGACCUCCUCUUGCUCACACUUUGAGUGCAAGACAGUCCUCUGCAGCAGAAGCAGCAAAGUCAAAAUCACUGAGUCCCAGGCUGGACGCCCACAGAAGCCCUAAUACCUGAAACAUUUCCAGCCAGGCCCUGGGUACAGUCAGAAGCACGGCAGGGUCUGCUUUUUGAAGACACAGAAAUUGAUCUCUUUUCAAAGUGACACUUCAUGUUAAAGAAAUUAUUAAAUUGUUCAUUUCCUUUCUAACUUUUUGCCUUUUGCUCCAGUCAUUUUUCUUGUCUUUAACAAAAAACCUUAAUGUUACACCAAAUGUAAAUUUGUGAUAUUGAUGGUACUACGUGUCUUCUCCAAAUAAAGUUCCACGAUG